rnacentral:lncRNA from 1 species
UUGGUUGCUUCAGCUAACCGGAAUCUUCUGUUGCUGCUUCAUGUUUGUUGGAUUUCGGUGCUUCCCGUUUCUAGGCUUUGCAGUGGUUGUUUCUUCUUUUUUCUGUCUUUGCUUUUUUUGGCAUUUGACUAUGUGAAUCAUGCGUUUGUUUUGGGCUGUGUCCCUUUGUGCUGUUGUUGCGGCCUUGUGCCUUCUUAAUUGAUUCUUCCCUUCGACC